ACGUAGGGGGCGAGCGUUGUCCGGAAUCACUGGGUGUAAAGGGCGCUCAGGCGGGGCGGUAAGUCAGAGGUGAAAUUUCACAGCUUAACUGUGAAUGUGCUUUUGAGACUGUAGGUCUAGAGUUCAGAAGAGGGCAGUGGAAUUCUUGGUGUAGCGGUGAAAUGCGUAGAUAUCGGGAAGAACACCGGUGGCGAAGGCGGCUGGCUGGUCAGUAACUGACGCUGAAGCGCGAAAGCCAGGGGAUCAAACAG
rnacentral:rRNA from 1 species